GACGAACGCUGGCGGCGUGCCUAACACAUGCAAGUCGAGCGGGGAGAAGAAUUCGUUUUUCUCUUUAGCGGCGGACGGGUGAGUAACACGUGGGUAACCUGCCUCAAAGUGGGGGAUAGCCUUCCGAAAGGAAGAUUAAUACCGCAUAAUAUCAUGGCGCUGCAUGGCGCAGUGAUUAAAGGAGCAAUCCGCUUUGAGAUGGACCCGCGGCGCAUUAGCUAGUUGGUGAGGUAACGGCCCACCAAGGCGACGAUGCGUAGCCGACCUGAGAGGGUGAUCGGCCACAUUGGAACUGAGACACGGUCCAGACUCCUACGGGUGCAG
rnacentral:rRNA from 1 species